rnacentral:rRNA from 1 species
CGGCGAGUGACCGGGAAGAGCUCAAAUUUGAAAUCUGGCGUCCUCAGGGCGUCCGAGUUGUAAUCUAUAGAGGCGUUUUCCGUGCCGGACCGUGUCCAAGUUCCUUGGAACAGGAUAUCAAAGAGGGUGACAAUCCCGUACUUGACACGACGACCGGUGCUCUGUGAUACGUCUUCUACGAGUCGAGUUGUUUGGGAAUGCAGCUCAAAAUGGGUGGUGAGUUCCAUCUAAAGCUAAAUAUUGGCGAGAGACCGAUAGCGAACAAGUACCGUGAGGGAAAGAUGAAAAGCACUUUGGAAAGAGAGUUAAACAGUACGUGAAAUUGUUGAAAGGGAAACGAUUGAAGUCAGUCGUGACCGAGAGGCUCAGCCGGUUCUGCCGGUGUAUUCCCCUCGGUCGGGUCAACAUCAGUUUUGUCCGGUGGAUAAGGGCGGUAGGAAGGUGGCACCCUCGGGUGUGUUAUAGCCUGCCGUCGCAUACAUCGGGUGAGACUGAGGAACGCAGCUCGCCUUUAUGGCCGGGGUUCGCCCACGUCCGAGCUUAGGAUGUUGACAUAAUGGCUUUAAACGACCCGUCUUGAAACACGG